rnacentral:rRNA from 1 species
UGGGGAAUAUUGCACAAUGGGCGCAAGCCUGAUGCAGCCAUGCCGCGUGUGUGAAGAAGGCCUUCGGGUUGUAAAGCACUUUCAGCGAGGAGGAAGGUGGUGAGCUUAAUACGCUCAUCAAUUGACGUUACUCGCAGAAGAAGCACCGGCUAACUCCGUGCCAGCAGCCGCGGUAAUACGGAGGGUGCAAGCGUUAAUCGGAAUUACUGGGCGUAAAGCGCACGCAGGCGGUUUGUUAAGUCAGAUGUGAAAUCCCCGGGCUCAACCUGGGAACUGCAUUUGAAACUGGCAAGCUAGAGUCUCGUAGAGGGGGGUAGAAUUCCAGGUGUAGCGGUGAAAUGCGUAGAGAUCUGGAGGAAUACCGGUGGCGAAGGUGGCCCCCUGGACGAAGACUGACGCUCAGGUGCGAAAGCGUGGGGCAGCAAACAGGAUUAGAUACCCUGGUAGUCCACGCUGUAAACGAUGUCGAUUUUGGAGGUUGUGCCCUUGAGGCGUGGCUUCCGGAGCUAACGCGUUAAAUCGACCGCCUGGGGAGUACGGCCGCAAGGUUAAAACUUAAAUGAAUUGAC